AGACAACUCUACUCUUAUGAGACCUCUCUUGCCACUUGCUUCCUGAUUUAUUCUUUCUCGGAUGCUACUUUCACUGCAGGAAAAAGAGAAGGAAAUGCACUAGAAGCUGGAUUUGUUAAUAGCUUUCUCUGACCUGUUAUGAAAUAUUUCAAAUUUGAAGGAAGAACCCAACUGUACAAAAUAGAUUCAGAUCUCUACUGGGUACUUUCAUAAACCUAAU